AAACUGAAUGGCAGGGGAGACACCUUGAUCAUGAAGGAGGUUUUCCCAGGGUGAGGCUCAGCCAUUGCACUCUGGCUGUGCUGACCCCUGUGAUUUCCCCAAAUGUGGGAAACUUGACUGAAUAAUAUGUGGUAGUGUGUGACUGAAUGCAUGCUUCCCCUGA
rnacentral:snRNA from 1 species